GUUCCUGGGUAACUGACUCGGAGGGUACUGUGGUCACUUUCUAGAGUGCUCAGCUAGACAUAAACCCUUCCUUGGGAACCCCUCCUGCCCCCUGCAGCUACAGCCACCACUGGAGGGGGCCUCUGUGGCCAUAUAUGCUUCCCCUCACUGAUCAGAUUACCGGACACCUGACCCAAGACGGGCAGCAAUCAGAUUCUCCUGGAAAAUCUGAAGAUGGGACCCACAAUUAGAGUUGGUCAGCUGUGGGAAGCUGAGCUGAAAAGUCACGUAAAAUUGAGGCCAAAGCUGGCACCUUGUCAGACAAAGGAAAGCACAUGCUGACGUUACAGGGGAACACGAACCAUGUGGAGCCAGGGAAGCCAACCUGCAGAGAAUAGGAUGGAGCAGAUACACAGAAGCAGAUCGAUGGCAAAGACCAUGUGGCUCCUGAGAGAAAGAGGGAAGAAGGGCCAGUCCCUGGGAGGUCUGUCCUUCCUGCCUUUGAGCCAACUUGGGUGGAUUUCUCCUUCUUACAACUGAAAGAGCCUUGAGCAGGACAGAGCCAAGUGUAAAAAUGACUCCAUUGUUGGCUUUUUGUGGACAUGCUCCUAAUGAACUGAAUUCAAGGUCUCCAUUGCUAUACAUACCAGGCACUUUCCUCCCUUUCAGAGAUGGAAUUUACCUCUGUUCAUCCUACGAGAAUCUGUCAAGGCAACAGAACAGGCCACUAACAUGGCAAACGAGCCCGGACCGGCUUCUCACCUCUUGCCCCGACAGGAGCAAUCUGCAGAUUCCUAGGUGUGCAGAGCAGGGCGAGGCCCGAGUCUCACCCGGCUCCCUGGCCCAGCAUCUAGGAUGCAGCAGGAGCAAUGCUGACCACCUUUUCAUGUACCUGUUGACCACUUGGAUGUCCUUCUCCAGCGGCUCCAGAGUUUUCACCUGCAAAUGGUAAGUCAGGCCAACCACCCACCAGCGGCUGGCUUAUCAUCACUAAUUGAGGAAAAGAAUAAGGAGCUCUCUCUACUUUAGCCUCAGCUCUUACGUAGGUCCUCCAGUCCUGCUGGGAGUUACUGGGCCUCCAUUAAUACAGCGAAUUGUUUGAUCCCAUUUAGCUCCCGCUCCCUGUUUAUCUUUACUGAUUAUAGUUUGCAGUGGUGGAAGGGUAAAUGAUUGGGACCUCAAAUCUCUAACACACAAAUCACUAAGGUCACUUCUGACUGAUAUUUUAAUUGAACUAUAUUAAAAUGUGUUCAGGGAUGAAGCAGAGUGAAAAAGUAAGCUGCAAAUAAGGGAGUACUUGGGGUGUUUGCAUCAUUUUGAACUUGUGUGCACAACCAAAGGUGGUUAGCCUAGUUCCUCAUUCUGGGUCCAGGGUGAGAUGACCUGACCCCCAAGUUCUUCCAUCAGACUGAGACUGCAUUUGACUUGUUCAGCCACAGUCAUUUACUACCCCACUGUAUCUGUAAGUACGCUGAAUGUGUGUGGGUUCUCACUCCAGCCACCAUGGGAAGUAAGGCUGCUUCCUAAGGCCCUUGUUCUUCCUGUAUUUCCUGCCUCUUGACUCUUACUGAACUCCUAGACCCCUUCAAAACCCAGCUCAGAUACAAACUCCUUUAAGAAGGCUUUCCUUAUUCCCCAAAGAUGUAAUUAAUCUUUUCUCUCUCUGUGCUACUUCCAUAUUUUACAUAUUCUAUAUAUUAUAAAGCUAAUACUGACAAAGUACUUUCUAUGUGUCAUGCAGUGUUCUAAGUGCUUAACAUAUAUCAACUCAUUUAAUUUUCAUCACAAUUCUAUGAGGAAGAUACUCUCAAUAAUCCUACUUUGCAGAUGAGGAAACUGAGAAGGUAAGUGGCUUGCUCUAAGUCACAGGCUUUGAAUCCACGUAGCUCUUAAAACACUCUGCCAUGCAUUUCUACUGCAGCACUUAAUGCACUAUUUUGCCAUUUAUUUGUUUCCAAGUCCUUUUCAAUACUGUGAGCUCCUGAAAGCAAGGACCUGUCUUAUUUGUUCAUCUCUGUAUCCCCAUCACUUGGCAGUCCCCAAGCUGAUCGACUUCCUUUGUGCUCACUAGGCCAUGGCAGAGACCCUCAACUGUGACCAGCCAAGUCAAAAACUUUCUCAUGAGCCUGGGACUGAACAUCCACAGGGUAGUCUAAGAUGUGACUAAGUCAAGUACAAUGGCCAUUUGCAGUAAUUCCUGAGAAAUAGCUCACCUGAAUCUAGAGCAAAAAAAGGAACCUCACCCCACAAGUAAGAAACCCCAGAACCUGAACAAGAAUUUGGAAAUCAAAUCUCUAAGGCAAAUCAACUGGGGCAGAAUCCACGAUCAACUCUUUCUGAUUCAGAAGAGAUAACUCGGGCUGGCUCCGUGGCCGAGCGGUUAAGUUUGCGCGCUCCACUUCGGCAGCCCAAGGUUUCACCGGUUCGAAUCCUGGGCGCAGACAUGGCACAGCUCAUGAGGCCAUGCUGAGGAGGCAUCCCACAUGCCACAACUAGAACCCACAACUAAAAAUACACACCUAUGCACCGGGGGGCUUUGGGGAGAAAAAGAGAAAAUAAAAUCUUAAAAAAAAAAUAAAGAUAACUUGAGAUUUUGCUACCCUUCAGUGAGGAAAAGUCAAGCAUGAGAGUUAUAUGUCAAUUAUAACUCAAUAAUAAAAACAAGAAAAACAAAGAAACAAACAUGAGAGACUCUGGGCAGGUGAACUGCAGCUGUGGGCAAUCAGCAGCAUAGCACCCAUUAUGUAACACGUAAUAGUAACUAAGAGUCUGCACUCCAGAGGGCUAUCCUGGGAUUUGAAUCCGGCUCUGACCCUGACUACUGUAUGACCUUGGUCAGGUUCUUCAACCUCUCAAUGCCUGAGAUUCUACAUCUAUAAAACAAAGGUAACAAGAGAACACAUGCUGUAGGAUUGUUGUGAGGAUUAAUUGAGUUAUAUGAGAGGAGUUAAUGCUUAGGACAGCGUCUAGCACGUAAUAAGGAUCCAACAAAAACAAGCUAUUUUUCUUCCUGCUUAUUUAGUAACGUAGGCAGAGAGCUGAUGGUAUGUAAGGCACAUUAUCGCAAACAUCUAUCACCUCUACCCCUGGCGCCUGGCACAGAGUGGGCAUCAGUGGGUUUUCACUGAAUGAAGAAUUGCCAAUGAAUGAGCUUUUGUUCAAGGAGAGAAACCAGAAUGGCAAUUAGAAGUAAGACUUAAACGUCAAGAGGACCAGCCCAGUAAACUCUCUAAUUUAGCAUUCUAUAACAAGAUUAACAUAUCACAGGCAUCUAUUGCUAUGUAUUCAUAAUAAUGAUUCUUAGG
ensembl:lncRNA